CAGUCGCCACGGUAAUACGGAGGGUGCAAGCGUUAUCCGGAUUUAUUGGGUUUAAAGGGUCCGUAGGCGGAUCUGUAAGUCAGUGGUGAAAUCUCACAGCUUAACUGUGAAACUGCCAUUGAUACUGCAGGUCUUGAGUAAAUUUGAAGUGGCUGGAAUAAGUAGUGUAGCGGUGAAAUGCAUAGAUAUUACUUAGAACACCAAUUGCGAAGGCAGGUCACUAAGAUUAAACUGACGCUGAUGGACGAAAGCGUGGGGAGCGAACAGGAUUAGAUACCCGAGUAGUCCCUGUCUCUUAUAC
rnacentral:rRNA from 1 species